AGGAAGUUCACAGUUGAGCUGGGCAGAAGGGUGGUUGUCGGUGACUUCUUCGAGAAAAUGUGACAGGAAGAUUUACAAGACGGGAGGCGUGACGAUGGCACUAGCUAACAUGCUACCAAACGGACAAGACAGCUACACUGGACUCCAGGUUAGGAGCAGGCGCGCGACAGUUGUUUGAAAGUUUAACGGUCGGCACGAGGUUCAUUGUUACAGAGGUAAUGAGGUGAUGGAGACGACGAUGACUGGGGCUCAACUCCAGACGUGAAGCAAGUUCACCCAGACAUCCCUCUUUAGCGACACUUUCCCUUCCUUCUGGGUUAUUCUGAGGCAUUCCCAGACCAGAUGCAGGGAUGGAUGGAUGCUACAGCAGUGAGGUCAUAAACCAUGGCUUAAAGGAAUAUAAAAGGCAGAAGUGAAUGUGGGGAGGUUUCAGAGGCAGCAGGAGAAGAUGAUUGUCUGUGGUUGGAUGCCGCUGAACUCCUGAAGGACGACCAGCAGACAAACCGCCUUCAUUCAGAAACGCCCCAUACAUCAACACGCCGCUCAACGGGCCGCCUGCAGCAGCUCGGACACCCUGCAGACGUGUUUGUGCCGUCGACCUGCAUGAAACAACAAUGGACUGUCAGCAUCAUCAGUUUUCAUGCCAGCCUCGCCGUAAAAAGACAAGAGAGCCAGUGUGAUGUACAGCUGAUCCUCUGAAACAC